UAGGACUUAGAACUUCUUGAACUUGCUGUGCCGUUGCGGUGCUUGAGUUGAAUGUCGGGGUUGUCACAACUGGAUCUGAAAGAACUUUCCAUAUCCCAAGUGUAGAGGAUGCCACCUAUACUUCAGGGUCAACCCAAUCAGAGUAAAAUUGGAUUCAAAUUGACCAAAGACUGGACAAACAAAUCAGAGAGAAUGUUGAGAAAGUGAACAAGUUUUUGCUGACUCACUUUUGCUUCAUAUGAAGAGGGUCGACCCAGCCAGAGUUAAGGAUUCAGAUCAACCAACAACUGGACAAAAAAUCCAGCACCAAGUGUGGAAACCCACUCUAUAAUUGGGGUCAAGGGGAAGGUCACACUCCAUGGUUGGAGGUUACAAGGCGUGCAGACUUCAAA
rnacentral:lncRNA from 1 species